CAUUUUUAGAUCAACUACGUCUUGGAUGCAAGUAAACCAGCCAAUGAGCUGAUAGUUAAGGAGGGAUCAGUUUGCCUUACCCGGGACAAUUUGUUGUCUCUUGGUCUGCAAAGGAACAUGGACUCAUUUGUAGGAGAUGCAUGCUUGGAUGUUGUGCGUAGUAUGGCACAAAAUGAGGAAAAAGACAUAUUUAUUUCUACAUUGCAUAUCCCACCAACUUGGCUCCCACCUAUACACUGUGAUCCUCUAAUAUCUCUCCCAGUAAGUUGGGCUAAGUACAACUCACA